UCCACUCUAUCCAGGCCUUUCACUAUUUUGUACUUUUCAGUGAGGUCGCCCCCUCAUCCUUCUAAACUCCAGCGAGUACAGGCCCAGUGCCGUCAAAUUCUCAUCCUAGGUUAACCCGCUCAUGCCUGGAGAUGACUGAUGUGGGUGUUAGGGUUAUGGGGAGAACGCAGG